CUUUUCCUGUAUGUGCUUGGUAAUUUUCAAGAGCUGAAGCCUUGGCCCACACGAGGUGUAGAGUUGGAACAGGGACCCCUGAAGAUGGUGUCUCCCUCCACUGGCAGAUAGGGUCCAAAGGGCAGUUUGUCUGUCUGAGGCCUUGCAUGGGGGUGGCCAGCACUGCCCUGAGAAGUGGAAGCAAAACCUCCCCUCACAAGGGUUUGCAGUUUGGGUUUGUGCCAGCUACAUCAUGAUCUGUAAAAUCUCACACUGUGGAGCUCCUGCCUCCACGAGGGCUGUGUGCGGGCAUCGGGAGGGACCGGCGUGUUUCCAGAUCUGGCUUCUACUCUGUUUGCAGACUGACCUGCCAGCCUGUAGCAUCUCACGGAUGUUGACUGAAGACAUGAGGUUCCCGGGUUCUCAUGGCACAGCUGGCAGCAUGAGCCUCUCGUUGGCCUGGGUUCCCCACGGGUGGACACUUGAGGCCGUGGCUGAUGCACACUGAGCUUGGAGAACCCCACUGCUUUCACAGCGGGCAGUAAACACACCUGCACUUUGACUAGAAGAGACAUGACCUCAUUCCUCAAGGCCGCUUGCUGGAAGCACAGCCCUGAGAAGUGGCCCAGGUGGAGAGAAUGGCAUUGGCAAACUCCGUGAGAACACGCAUGCUGGGUAGCUGCUGCCAGCACACCCAGGUCUCUCUGGAUUUCGUCACAUUAAAAUCAUCUAAACAUGAGCUCACAGGUGAAAAUUACCAAGCACAUACAGGAAAAGCCACCGUGAGCAAGUCAGCAGAACCACAGCAGAACUGAACCUCCGAGAAGGCAGCUGUUGAGAUCCUAAGUUAAAGAAGAUAAACUAAGAAUGCUUGAGAUAUUCACAGACUAGAGGAAGGAAACAGCCUGAACCAGGAGCCACAUGACCGCUAAACGUGACCUGGAGACUGGAAAGGAAUCAGAGGGAACAUCUAGAAAUGACAAGUAUGAUACAUGACCGCCAAACAUGACGUGGAGACUGGAAAGGAGUCAGAGAACAUCUAGAAAUGACAAGUAUGAUACAUGACCGCCAAACAUGACGUGGAGACUGGAAAGGAGUCAGAGAACAUCUAGAAAUGACAAGUAUGAUACAUGACCGCCAAACAUGACGUGGAGACUGGAAAGGAGUCAGAGAACAUCUAGAAAUGACAAGUAUGAUACAUGACCGCCAAACAUGACGUGGAGACUGGAAAGGAGUCAGAGAACAUCUAGAAAUGACAAGUAUGAUACAUGACCGCCAAACAUGACGUGGAGACUGGAAAGGAGUCAGAGAACAUCUAGAAAUGACAAGUAUGACAGAUGAAACUGUGUGGGUUUAGCAGCAGGUCCAUUUUGGCUAAACAGAUCUUGUAUUAGUGGAUGGAAAGGAAAACCAGAAGAAAUGCGGGCUAAAGAGCCAAACAGAAAACAAGAGACACUAGGAACCGUGGAGGCCAGGGUGAGGCACAGCACACGUUUAAACAAAGUUUGGGGGUGUGAGGCUUAAAGUGACAGUGGCCAGCAAUUUUCUCUAAAUUAUGAAAGCCUGAAUACACAGGAUCGGGAGCACAGCAUCCAUCCAUCUCAUAAUGAAAUUGCAGGACACCAAACGCAAAGAGAAUAUCUUAAAUGCACCCAAGGAAAAAACGCAAAUUACCUCUGAGAGCGGACACCGAGACUGAGACUCGGCUUUGCCACGGCCACAGUGGGAGCCAGAAGCCGUGUGACAGAUCCAGCAAGUGUGACUCCUUACUCUCCACCGCCAGCUUAGAAUCAAGCCUUGAAGUAGAUGCUCGUUCAAGAAUCUGCUUGUGAUAAAGGCAUUUUCAAAUGGGAAACAAUGUAUCACAACAGGAAACUCAGUAGAGCGAGCUGUAAAGGGAGCCUGGCCCUGCAGAAAGGGGCUGAGACAGAUAGGCAGAGGAACGCAGCCUGCAGGGAAGAGCAGUGCAAACUCUGAAGCUCUGCCACCUGGACGGCCUUAGUUAUCUGUGUUUGGGGGAGAAAAAUUAGAGCCCUCACCAGCCCCACACAAUAAAUAAAUAAGCUCUGAGUGUUUCUAAGCCUAAGACAUCUUUGUGAGCUCUGGAAACAAGGGCUUCUUUAAGAAGGCCCCAAAAGCCCAAGGAAAACAUUAAGAAAUUCAACUACAUUAAAUUUUAAACUUCUUUAUAUUGAAAUUAAAAGUGAAAACAAAAUCCACAAAAGGAUAACGAACAGAGAUUAAGUAUCCAGAAUAGGUGCAGAAUUAGUUGUCAACAAGAAGGUGGCAAACAACUCAGAAAAGAGCAAAAACCAUGAAUGGGGUUUCGCAGAAAUGGAAAAAUAAAUAGAAAUGCUCAUCCUUCUUAGUGAUCAGCAAGUAAAGCCAGAGGGACGUCCUUUCAUGCCCAUCAGAAUGAUGAUGGUUUGGGGGAGAGGGUGGAGACCAGUGGUCUUACCCAGUACCCUUCUUGUGACCUCCUUGGUGACAUUCAGUCGGGUUGGGAGCUUCUUGCAUGUUCAGACAAGAAAACGUGCUCAGAUACCUGAAAUAGCAAACAACUGGAGACAGCCCACAGGUGCAUCAUUAGAGGAAUGGACAGGUAAGUUGUUCUCUAUCAUAACAUAUACUGAAAAGCAGUGAGAAUCAAUUAUUAGAACUACAUGGAUCACCUAGGUGGAUCUCACAAAGAUAAUCCACAAAGAAAAUUCAGGAGGAAUGCGUACGGUGCAAUGACAUACAACAUGUUUAAGACAUACAAGACGGUUUUGUUUUAAGAAUCUGUAACUAUUGGCCAGGCGCAGUGGCUCACACCUGUAAUCCCAGCACUUUGGGAGGCUGAGGAGGGCGGAUCACGAGGUCAGGAGUUCGAGAGCAGCCUGACCAACAUAGUGAAACCCCAUCUCUACUAGAAAUACAAAAAUUAGCCGGACAUGGUGGUGCAUGCCUUUAAUCCCACCACUCAGGAGGCUGAGGCAGGAGAAUCGCUUGAACCUUGGAGGUGGAGGUUGCAGUAAGCUGAGAUUGUGCCACUGCACUCCAGCCUGGGCGAUAGAGUGAGACUCUGUCUCAAAAAAAAACAAAAAAAAUCUGUAUACAAAAUAUAAAUGUGUGUGGGGAUGACACAUAUGUACUCUAGCAAGUGAGGACCCCAACUGGGGAUGGGAUAGGAGACCAUCUUUCUUUCCAGAGUGGCAACACAGUGCAGGGGGGUCCCUGUCUUAGCAGUGACUUGCUGGUGUGCAGAGGGGUCACUCUCUUAGCAGUGACUUGCGGGUGUGCAGGGGGUUCACCACCUUACCAGUGACUUGCAG
rnacentral:lncRNA from 1 species